CUACUGUAUGUCUGAUAUGUCUUGUUUGCAUGAUGGAGGCCAGCUGAAAGGCAAUUUUUGGUCACUACUUAAUGUUCGAUGUAAAAUCUGCAUGCCGAAGCAAAGAUGAGAACCACUGAUUCAAGAGUGGAUGAGUCAGACUGGUUUGUCUGUUUGGAAAACGUCUGUUUGACAUCCCAUCCCAUUAAUAUUGUUUGAUGAAAGAUAAGCAACGCUUUGAAGAGGACAGCGGAGUGGUUUCACCACUGCAACCUCAUCGACAGCUUCUCUUCAGGGUUUUCACUACAAAGCACUUUCUCCACAUACGCAGCUUUACACACAGCAACUAACAUUUUUUUAAUCUUCAGAUUUAUUGAGUUUUGCAGCUGCAAACUAAUUAUUUUCUUGAACAGAAAGCAGACACCUUGGGUAAUGGCAUCCCUUAUUAGAAGUAGCGUUCUCCAGGCCUGAUUGCCAGUCAGCAGCUUUUCUCAGUAAUGCUGAAUAUUUCAGCUGCGAAUCGUAUAGCGUGGCCCUCUGGAGGCCAGUAAUAAGAGCGGCGCUAGCAAAACCGAGAGCACUAGCUCA